CUGGCUAUGGAUUGGAAUGACUCCUGUGAUGUUUUAUGUUGUUAAUUGUUUUGUUGCCCACAAAAACAUUAUGUUUGAUAAAACGAGCCUUGAUUAACGUGAGCUUUUUAUUUCCAUGUUGUUUGAUUUCUUGCCAUUAAAUUAUGAAUCAAGUUGAAAUGAAUACAGAUUAGGAGGAGGUACUGCAUAAAAUGAAAGACCCAACACAAGAAGUUUCUGACUUGCCAUGACAGAAGGCUAUGAAAGAGGAAAAGUGCCGCGGGACAACUGAUCUGUGCCCAGGCAUGAUUGGAAAUGAACAGCAGAAGAUGUCAUCCAGCAGCAGCCCACAUCUCCUGAGGGUGAGAGAGACACUACAAAGAAGAGCAACCUGAGUUUACAGUGUUAAAAAAGAACAAAAAAACAAUAACAAAAAGAAAACUUUACUCUCUCUCUCUCUCUAUAUAUAACACUGUUAACCAAAUACAUUAAAAUAAAUGUUCCAAAAGCUGGUUUUGCAAUGAUGCAAUAAAAUAACCAUUUUAAAGCCAA